rnacentral:rRNA from 1 species
AACGAACGCUGGCGGCAUGCCUAACACAUGCAAGUCGAACGAGACCUUCGGGUCUAGUGGCGCACGGGUGCGAACGCGUGGGAAUCUGCCCUUCGGUUGGGAAUAACUGAGAGAAAUUUCAGCUAAUACCUUAUAAUGUCUUCGGACCAAAGAUUUAUCGCCGAGGGAUGAGCCCGCGUAGGAUUAGGUAGUUGGUGGGGUAAUGGCCUACCAAGCCGACGAUCCUUAGCUGGUCUGAGAGGAUGAUCAGCCACACUGGGACUGAGACACGGCCCAGAAUCCUACGGGAGGCAGCAGUGGGGAAUAUUGGACAAUGGGCGAAAGCCUGAUCCAGCAAUGCCGCGUGAGUGAUGAAGGCCUUAGGGUUGUAAAGCUCUUUUACCCGGGAUGAUAAUGACAGUACCGGGAGAAUAAGCUCCGGCUAACUCCGUGCCAGCAGCCGCGGUAA